rnacentral:rRNA from 1 species
UACAGAGGUCUCAAGCGUUGUUCGGAUUCAUUGGGCGUAAAGGGUGUGUAGGUGGCGCUGUAAGUCGGGUGUGAAAUUUCGGAGCUUAACUCCGAAACUGCAUUCGAUACUGCGGUGCUUGAGGACUGGAGAGGAGACUGGAAUUCAUGGUGUAGCAGUGAAAUGCGUAGAGAUCAUGAGGAAGACCAGUGGCGAAGGCGGGUCUCUGGACAGUUCCUGACACUGAGACACGAAGGCCAGGGGAGGCAAACGGG